UACGGGGGGGGCAAGCGUUGUUCGGAAUUACUGGGCGUAAAGGGCUCGUAGGUGGCCAACUAAGUCAGACGUGAAAUCCCUCGGCUUAACCGGGGAACUGCAUCUGAUACUGGAUGGCUUGAGACCGGGAGAGGUGAGUGGAAUUCCCAGUGUAGCGGUGAAAUGCGUAGAUAUUGGGAGGAACACCAGUGGCGAAGGCGGCUCACUGGACCGGAACUGACGCUGAGGCGCGAAAGCGUGGGGAGCAAACAGG
rnacentral:rRNA from 1 species